rnacentral:lncRNA from 1 species
ACAAAUAUAUAAUUCACUGUAAUCGACUACAUUGCAAUAAAAGUAAAAUGUAACAUAUCCUAAUCCGUUAAAAGUUAUAUAUAGUUAAUUAUUUCCCCCGCGCUGUAGCGCGGGUCCGAACCUAGUUACAAAGUAUAUAAUGUGACAAUAUUAAAAAAAAAAAGUUAGAGUUUCUCACUCCUCGGCUUGUAAGUGAAUUGCUAUGGCUGCGGGAACUUCUAUCUACACUUGGUGUUGAUUGCCCGUAUACUAUACCUCUCCAUUGUGACAACCAGUCGGCUAUUCAUCUCAGUCGUAAUCCGGUG